UGUGUGCUGCAAUUUUUGCUUGGGAAGUGCAAGGGCACAGAAAAGAAGAGGAAGAGGAUAUCUGUGGGGCUUUGUGGCAAUGGUCACACUGGGGCAAUGAGGUGCAUAGGGUGGCAGAAUUGCUUGCAGGACUGUCCUGCACUGCGCUGCUGGAGUUGAGCAGCCCUGAGACUUCCCCUGAGUGUGCCAACGCAAAAGAUCUCCCACUGAGGUCUUGGAAGCCAGGAGAAGCUAAAGCACGGGCUCAAAGAGACACUUCCUGCUUCGAGUGAAGACCUGAUCAAUAACAGACAUGAAGGACACGGCAGGGAACAGGAUUGUGGGAGAGUGAAUAAUUUUUACCAAAUGUCAUUUCAGGGUACCUCCUCUUGCUAGUCUUGUCUAUUUUAGGUACAACAGGAUGUCAUCAUUCUGGUUAUUCUUGCAAAUACAGAUGUACAGAUUGUGGAAAUAUACUAAGCACUGAACUAGGAGAUUUUCAAAUAAAUAUUAGC